AUUGAAAGCUGGCGGCAGGCCUAACACAUGAAAGUCGAACGAGUGGCGGACGGGUGAGUAAUGUCUGGGAAACUGCCUGAUGGAGGGGGAUAACUCCUGGAAACGGUAGCUAAUAACGCAUACCAUCAGAUGUGCCCAGAUGGGAUUAGCUAGUGGGUGGGGUAACGGCUCACCAAGGCGACGAUCCCUCGCGGGUCUGAGAGGAUGACCAGCAACACUGGAACUGAGACACGGUCCAGACUCCUACGGGAGGAAGCAGUGGGGAAUAGCGCACAAUGGGCGCAAGCCGGAUGCAGCCAUGCCGCGUGUAUGAAGAAGGCCUUCGGGUUGUAAAGUACUUUCAGCGGGGAGUCGUUACCCGCAGAAGAAGCACCGGCUAACUCCGUGCCAGCAGCCGCGGUAAUAC
rnacentral:rRNA from 1 species